rnacentral:misc_RNA from 1 species
UCUCCGUUGGUGAACCAGCGGAGGGAUCAUUACCGAGUUUACAACUCCCAAACCCCUGUGAACAUAACUAUCGUUGCCUCGGCGGUGCCCGCUCCGGCGGCCCGCCAGAGGACCCCCAAACUCUUGUUUUAUACAGUAUCUUCUGAGUAACACGAUUAAAUAAAUCAAAACUUUCAACAACGGAUCUCUUGGUUCUG